rnacentral:tRNA from 1 species
GCCCGGGUGGUGAAAUUGGUAGACACAAGAGACUUAAAAUCUCUCGGUAGCGAUACUGUGCGGGUUCGAGUCCCGCCCCGGGCACCA